AUAUGUUUAUUUUUUUUAGUGUUUUCAGACAGAAGGAGUGGGUUUUAAAGAUAGGAAUGUUGUUGAAGAUAUGGUUGAUGGGUUUAAUCCUUGUUAUAGAGCCAUCUAAUCCACAAGGUCUUCUGAAAAAUACUGGAAAAGCCCAGGACGUGAUGAAAUUCCAGUCUAAUGCUAAACCUGUAUUGAAAAAUGAACCAUCAUCUGGAGUCAUUUCCAAAGAUGUACAGCGAGAAAAUAAGUGCAUACAAUUCAGAUACCUAAAGUUAUUAAGGAUGCAUGUCUGUGUAAAAUUUAUGGUCCAGGAUCCUAAAAGUAAUAAAA
rnacentral:lncRNA from 1 species